AGUGAACGCUGGCGGUAGGCCUAACACAUGCAAGUCGAACGGCAGCACAGAGGAGCUUGCUCCUUGGGUGGCGAGUGGCGGACGGGUGAGGAAUACAUCGGAAUCUACUCUGUCGUGGGGGAUAACGUAGGGAAACUUACGCUAAUACCGCAUACGACCUACGGGUGAAAGCAGGGGACCUUCGGGCCUUGCGCGAUUGAAUGAGCCGAUGUCGGAUUAGCUAGUUGGCGGGGUAAAGGCCCACCAAGGCGACGAUCCGUAGCUGGUCUGAGAGGAUGAUCUGCCACACUGGAACUGAGACACGGUCCAUACUCCUACGGGAGGCAGCACUGGGGAAUAUUGGACAAUGGGCGCAAGCCUGAUCCAGCCAUACCGCGUGGGUGAAGAAGGCCUUCGGGUUGUAAAGCCCUUUUGUUGGGAAAGAAAUCCAGCUGGCUAAUACCCGGUUGGGAUGACGGUACCCAAAGAAUAAGCACCGGCUAACUUCGUGCCAGCAGCCGCAGUAA
rnacentral:rRNA from 1 species